CCUGGUAGUCCACGCCGUAAACGAUGUCGACUUGGAGGUUGUGCCCUUGAGGCGUGGCUUCCGGAGCUAACGCGUUAAGUCGACCGCCUGGGGAGUACGGCCGCAAGGUUAAAACUCAAAUGAAUUGACGGGGGCCCGCACAAGCGGUGGAGCAUGUGGUUUAAUUCGAUGCAACGCGAAGAACCUUACCUGGUCUUGACAUCCACGGAAGUUUUCAGAGAUGAGAAUGUGCCUUCGGGAACCGUGAGACAGGUGCUGCAUGGCUGUCGUCAGCUCGUGUUGUGAAAUGUUGGGUUAAGUCCCGCAACGAGCGCAACCCUUAUCCUUUGUUGCCAGCGGUCCGGCCGGGAACUCAAAGGAGACUGCCAGUGAUAAACUGGAGGAAGGUGGGGAUGACGUCAAGUCAUCAUGGCCCUUACGACCAGGGCUACACACGUGCUACAAUGGCGCAUACAAAGAGAAGCGACCUCGCGAGAGCAAGCGGACCUCAUAAAGUGCGUCGUAGUCCGGAUUGGAGUCUGCAACUCGACUCCAUGAAGUCGGAAUCGCUAGUAAUCGUGGAUCAGAAUGCCACGGUGAAUACGUUCCCGGGCCUUGUACACACCGCCCGUCACACCAUGGGAGUGGGUUGCAAAAGAAGUAGGUAGCUUAACCUUCGGGAGGGCGCUUACCACUUUGUGAUUCAUGACUGGGGUGAAGUCGUAACAAGGUAACCGUAGGGGAACCUGCGGUUG
rnacentral:rRNA from 1 species